rnacentral:lncRNA from 1 species
AGGGGCCAUCAAGCGAGCGUCGCCGCGAAGCCGGCCGCCGCCCCGGUGGCCUGCCACUCCGUGCAGGGCUCCUGGUGACAAACGACACUCACUCUGGGACAAAACGCCAGGCGAGCAUGUUCUGCGGUUGAUUUUGACGGGGCUGGAAUGACUGGUCCCUUCCGGGAGCUCACGUCUCCGUGCGGGGAGGGCCCGGAUUAAACCCGCGGCUCUGGAGGCGCAGCUCCUCGCGCCUCCGCGCCUGUCACUUGAAACGCAAGUAUUUGGCUUAAGCUUAUUUUUCCUCCUAAGCCGCCUGGCACAUACUCUGCCCCGAGAGCGGCUUUGCAAAGCAAAGAUGUUUAUUUCCAGGGUUGUGGGAAAGCUGUACCCCUCCCAACGACCUGCUUACGUGAGAAGUUCAGGAAAGACACGCAGGGCCGGGUGGACGGGGCCGCUGCGGGUCUGACGCGCCCCAAACAGCACCACAGGGCGACCCCCGAGUCCCCUCACGUCCUGCACCCCCAUGGCGCCUUCUUACCGCCCAAGGUAACCCCCGUUGGGUUAGGCGUGUGGAGCCGCAGGGCUGGGUCAGGUCUCAAUGGCCAGAGGGUCCAGCCUUAGGUCCCCUCCUUCCCCAGGGCAGGGCCACAGACCCAGGGCAGCGAGAUCCCUGUGCUACCUCUGGGCGCUUGGCUCAGGCACCUAGUCUGAGCCCCAGUCCCCUCUCUGCACGGGGAACACCCCUGACUGGGCCUCGGGGUCACUGUGAGAGGCAAACAGCACCCAUGUUAUGUGAAAACGCCGUAGGGGCACAGGGAUGUUGCCACCCCAGGAACCAGCUGGGGGGGCGUGUGUCUGGGGGCAGCCUCCUCCUCUGAGUGUGUGUUUGCAGGACCGUGAGCCGUCCUGGCCUCGGGCCGUGCCGUCCAGUAGUUUCUCGAGCAAAGGCCUGAAAGAAGAGCGAGGAGGGGCCGGGGCCAGGGCAGGGGCUCUGCCACCCUCCGUUUGAAGACUGCCCACGCGGGCCUCUCCUUCAGCCCAGGUGACAAACCCACACACCACCCAGUGAUGCUGGCAGCCAGGGCCUUGCCACCUGGAGGGGCGGCUCCGGGGACCAGUCAGCUGGGCAGGGCCGACAGAGCCGGCUCUCAGCAGAAAGCGCGGGGCGAGACGGGCGUCCCAGGCAGCCUCUCUGACGGGGCGCCUCCUCCUCUGCCCCGGAUGCCCUAGAAGUGGCCUCUAUCUCCACCAGCAGCCCCCCGCUUUCGUUCACUCUGAGGUCCCUCAGUGGCGGUGACUGCUCAGACCCCAGCCUGUCCCCUUCGUCUCUGCCCUGUCACCACCCGCAUUUCUGAGCUCCUUACAGAAUGGAAGUUCUGGGUCCUGGGGAGCUUGAGCCUGACGUGGGCCCGGAUCCUGGAAUACGCCCAGGAGGCUGGGAUGGGCAGUCAGCCCCACCAGGCCUCAGUGACCCCGCCUGUCAAGCAGUCCGUGGAGGAGAUAAAUUUAAUCUCCUUGGCAUAUGGAAGUCCCCAGGCUAGGGGUUGAAUGGGAGCUACAGCUGCUGGUCUACACCACAGCCACAGUAACACAGGAUCUGAGCCACAUCUAUGCCCUAAACCACAGCUCACGGCAACCCCAGAUCCUCAACCCACUGAGCGAGGCCAGGGAUCCAACCCACAUCCUCAUGGUUCCUAAUCAGCUUUGUUACCGCUGAGCCAAACAGGAACCCCAAGAGCCUAACGUUUUAAAUGAAAGAUGGAACUAUACAGGGGACACAGUUAAAAGGAGCUGCAGGGAGCUGGGCUGGGAGACGCUGGCCAGAUUAAAGCCAUUUCCGUGGGAAUGCACCCCUGUGCACGGAGCAGGCCCCCAAGUGGCAAGGAAGUUUCUGCAGUUAUGGUCUCUGCUGGCCCCGAGAGGGAGAGGUGAGCCUGAGGGAAGCUGUCCGUGCCCUGAUCCCUGGAGCUGAGUGUGACCCCGUGUGGGAAAGAGUGCUUCGGGCAGGGCCAAGGCCAAGGGCUGAGAAGAGGGACCAUCCUGGGUCAUCGGGUGGACCCUGCGCGGCCCGUGUCCUCAGAGGGAGCAGCCCAGGGGCUCUGACUGCAGGCAGGGGGCGUGGCGACCACAGGGAAGCAUAGACAAGGGCUGCCUCGGGUCAAGGACGGCUGGUAGCCGCGGGCCCUGGGAGCAGAGCGGCCCUGCCCACAGCUUCAUCUCCGCGGAGAUCCGGCUUUGGCCUCAGGCCUCCAGCGCGUGCGGUUUCACGUGGGAGCUGCAAACCACCCUCUGUGGGACGUCACCACGGCGGCCCAGGGCUGGCGCGCGGACCAUGGGAGCGAGCCCACCGCACCACGAAGGAGGUGAGAGGUGGGCAGAGAGGUGAGGGUGCCCGGAGAAUGAGAGCCCAGCGCUCGGUCCAUCCCUGAAGAUGCCCAGCUGCUCGGACCGGAGGUCAGGCCGGGCCACGCGGACACUAGCCCACCUCGGCCGCUUGCUCAGGAAAUGCCGACGUGCUGCACUCUCUUUAAAGCACUGCUUCUGUUUAGCCAAGCCCCCCACGUCCACGCCGCGCCCUGCCGGGUCCGGCUGAGCCUGUGCUGCGUGUGUCCCUCCCACCCAGCAGCCCACGGGCCACACAGGGAGGAAGCGUCUGCGGGGAGAGCAGGGCUUCCAGCAGCCUGCCUGGGGCCUCCAGCCCCAGCCGCCCCGCCAGCCCACCGGGCUGGGGGUCCUCCUCCACUGUGGCCACCCUUGGGAGUCACAGGCCCUGACACGCACGUGCAGAGACCCCCCAGGAGCCCAGCCCAGGGCCAGGCCCCUUGAGGAGAGGAACUGUCGCCAGAUGUCCAGGAAGAGGUGACCUGCCUGAGACCAGCCGGGACGCACUGAUGGGGCCGCAGGGUGUGGUCCCCGCUGUGCGAGGCACAUUGCAGUGCACAAAGCAUCCUUCCCGGAAACUGAAGCUCAGCCCAAGAGCCGAACUUCACCAUGUCUUAGCCAAGCGUUGCAUUUCAAAUUGUAAUUAAAAUAUCAUUUAAAGUUUUCCGAAAUGUCCUGGAAUACAACUUGAGAAGCCACCGUGGGACCGGCUCACAGUGGGCAGUGGGCUGGAGGUGGAGACGGAGGGGCCGAGGCCUGGAGGCUGCCCUCUGGCAGGAAACCCGAGGCAACCGCGUGGGCAAAGGAACGAGGGGCAGCUCUCAGCAGAGACUUGGGCGGGAGGGCGCGGCCGCUGCAGGUUAUCAGCAGGUGGGGCCACUGGGGGCUCAGCCGGGCCUGCUGGAGGUGUGCCGGCCUCUCUGGGGCCUGGCCCUGCGUGGACCAGCAGGGCUUGGCCUGGGGGUGGCGGGCAGCAGGGCGCCAGACCAGCUGGCUGGGGUGCCGGGAGGAGGGGGUUUGCAGAUGAGCCUGUGCCUGUGCCGUGUCCUGGGAGCGCGUUUUCUCUAUUCCGUCAAGGGCUAACACCCCUCAGGAGUGUACGUGUGGCCUCUCACCUGGGGACACUCACCGUGGUGAGGUGACAGCAGGAGAGGCUGUUAGAGCCCACGACACUCUCUCUGUUGCCCUGAGAGACCCUUGAGGAGCUGGCACCCGUGGAGGCGUGAGACGGAGCUGUCCUCCUGGGGUCACCUAACCUCCGCGGAUGCCUGGCAAGUGCACACGCAGGGCGUCCGGGCCGUGGAGCCACCAUGUCCUUCAGGACUCACUGCACCCACAGCCCCUCUGCGGCCCCGACAUCCCCUGGGAGGCGGGCAGCCCACCACGCCCGGUGCCACCUCCCACCCCGGCGUGGCCGCGCUUGGGGGCUGCGCUCUGGCCUCAGUCCCCGUCCGUGCUCCGUCCCUCGCGCCCCACGGGCCCCCCCUGCUCCGCCGCUCGCUGCCGCGGGUUGUUUCCCGCUUCCAAGGGGGUCGGUGUCCACACGUGUGCGCCUCUCGGGGACGCAGGCCGGGUCCACGCUGCCGGCCGAGAGGCUCUCCCUAAGGAGGCCCCAAGGCUUCCAGGGCCGUGUGGCCUCGUGUGGCCUUGUCACUUCACCAUCGAGCGCUGGGGUCUCACAGACCUGCGCUCGGCUUCCCUUUGACCUGCUCUCUGCCCUGUGAGCGUCCUCUCUGGGGAGUGACGGUCACCGCAGCUGAGAUUUUCCUUCUCGGUUUGCGGGACAGGCCGGGCUGAGGCCCUGCGGUUGGCGUGCUCCGCCCACUUUCUUAGCGGCGCCUUUGAAAUAACCGAAGACACUGGUUUCACGGGAGCCCAACAUAUCCACCUAUCCCGGGCCACAUUGCACACCGUGUCCGGCUCGACCCCAACUGCCUCUGUCACCUCUGAUCUCUGCACGUGGCCCUCUGGUUUGGGUAAGUGUCCCGCUGAGGGCAGGGUCUAGGGACACCCAGGGAAACGCAGCAUCACAGGGAGACAGGGAGGGGUCUACGGCCACGCCAGGUGCCCAGGCCAUCCUCAGGCCCCAGACUGUUCUUUUUCUUACAGGUAUACUACUAUUUUUAUUAACACUAUUUUUAUUAAAUUCACUGACAAUGCUAAAUUCUAGAACUUUAAGGGUAUAAUGUGAAACAGCAUCACAAAAUUUAAGGGAUAGUGCAACUACCUCUAUACAUAAUAUGGGGACAAGCCCCGCAGGCUAAACGCUCAGGACUCGGCUCCUUGGUUGCUGACCUCAGACAAGGCACCAAGCAGUCUUGUCCAUUUACAAAAAACUGCAGGACCAGCAGUAACAGGAUUGGGAAGAACCGAUUCAAGAUCGUGGGGCCAGGCUGAGCCCGGUUCGCUGGGGGCUGUUGCAGCUCAAGUCCAGGACAGUCCCCGCGGCGGAAGGAAGCCACUUGACAUGGUGGGUUCUGCCUCUGGGGCCUCUUGCGGAGGCCAGCGGCUUCACCCAAUAUGUUUCCUGCCUCCCAUGCCAUCCCAGGCACCAGUUCUGCCAGUCGUUUGGCAAAUCCCCCCAUGUGGACCACGCAACAGGCACCCGCCUUCAGGAAAACACUCCCGGCCACGGAACGAGUUCUGCUCACCAAAGGAUUGGGCAUGUGCCGUGGCAGCACCCCCUCCCCUCUGGGAGGCCACUUCCGUGCCAGUCAGCUUUGCAGCACAACAAACUGCCUCAAGACGGAGCGCUUAAGGCACCCUCCUCUCACUCAGCCUGCAGCCCUGAGUGGCAGCUGGGGCUCUCUGGGCUCGGCCAGUGCGUCCGAUCCCUGCCUGACGCGUGACCCUCGGGCACUUAGCCCCCCACCCCCACCCCCCCCACGCUUUGUGGUUUCAACCCUGCAUGUGCUUUAAUCCCACGAGAAGGCGCCACGGCUGCUUCAUGCUCCAGGGUCACUGGGUUUUCCCGAAUCUUUCCCCUUCCUUGUCCUCGGCCUCCUGGACCCGGAAACCCACCUGGGCUCGUGGUCCUUCCGUGGCCGGGUACAGGGGAUGAGCUUGAUCUGCUCUUCGGGGGGUUAUGGAAAUCCUCUCUUUUACUUUCAUUUUUUCUUGGUCCCUGGUUUUCACUUCUUUCUUUCGAUGUUCUCAGGGGAGGCUUUCUUCCCACUCUCCUCCCUGGUGGUUCUGUGCUUCUUGGAUCUGGAGUUUGAUAUCUUUCAUCGACUUUAGGAAAUUAUCAGCCUUUAGCUCUUUAAGUGUUUCUUUGGAUUUGCUCUCUUUCUUCCCAUCUAGGACUUGAAAUUCCAGCUUGUGAGACUCCCACUGCACCCCUAGGAUUUGCUCUCUCUUACACCUUCCAGUCUUCAUUUCCCUGCCUCGCUUGGCUGCCCUCCAGAGCCGGUGUCCAUGACGGGAAUGAAGUUUCAUUAGAGCUGCACCGUAGGACCUGCGAAUGCCGCCCAGAGCCCAGAUCGAAUACGCAAAUGCAGAGAGGGCUCCGCUCUGCGCCCUGAGCAGCCCGGGUCCCUGGGGGCCUGGCCGUCCGCUUCCCAAAUCCACACCGAAGGUCCUGGGCCGGCGCUUCGGAGACGCCCGUGGGAGCCUGUCCUGGUGGAUGAGGAGCAAAGCAUCCCUCCUGAGAGCAGCGGGUCAGGCACAGGGACCCCGACUGGAGCCAUGACUCUGGCUCCCUGGAAAACCACGCAGAGCACCCAGCCGCCGAGGGAGCACCCACACGCGGCUGUGCAGGCUGAUUGACACCUGUCUUCCCUGGGGUUUCAGGAAACAGCCUCUGUCUGACUGAGUUGGGAUCACUUCCCGGCUUACUUAAAAUUUGAUGCCUGAGAAG